AAGAGGAAUCUUGCUCAGUGCAAGAAGUUGCACUUGAUGAACUUCCCAUCUGAGCUGAUGCCCUUGGCAGGAGAAGUGCUCAGCAAGGAGGCUCUUUGCUCCUAGGCAGGAAGAAAGGCCAGUGCCCUUCCUCCCCAAGGCCCAGCCCAGCAGGGCUGGCAGGAGCUGCUGGUGUGGCUGCUCUUUGGGUUCUCAGCUGUGGCUGUGGGGUGGUGACAUCGUGUUCCUGCCUGUGCUCCAGGGCAGCCAAAAGCCCAGCCCAGCCCCUGGGCCUUUUUGGGAGCCUGAGCUAUUGUAGUACUGGGGAUGGGGGUUUGGGUUUUUGUUUCCCUAAAAGUAGAACCACUGGGGGGGAUCUCUUAUCUCACAGUUGUUGUUGUUUUGAUAUCUUAAUUAAUUACAACUUGAGAAGAAAAGCUUGUGUAACUUAGGAACUGACUUGCACUGGUUACACUGAAAGUGCCAAGGAGUUGUAGUGUCCACUGGAUUGUUUGUAUUGAAGCAGUUUGUUGUUUACAGAGGGAUAAUAACUCCUGUCAGCAGCAAGGUCCCGACUGAAGUGGCAGCUGCAGUUGUUCCUGUGGUGUGGGCCAGUGGAAUUCCAAGAAAAUGGACAAGGACAGAAGCUGUAAGAAUUACCCCUAAGCCAGAGUCUCUCCUGGCAGAAGAGCCCAGGCCUGAGCUGGCUGAGUGUUGGUGUGAGCCAGAGUGGGUGUCCCUGCCCUCGGGCCAGUCCCCAGAGCUGCCUUUGGCAUCCCCUGCUGAAGGGUGGGAGCUGCCCAGAGCCAGCAGCAUCCAGCUGGAGGAUCCAGGAGGAUGCAGCUCUGCUUUGCUGGGAGCUUGUCCAGGAGAUGGAAUUCCAGUG